rnacentral:rRNA from 1 species
UACGUAGGGUGCGAGCGUUGUCCGGAAUUAUUGGGCGUAAAGAGCUCGUAGGCGGUCUGUCGCGUCUGCUGUGAAAACUCGGGGCUUAACCCCGGGGCCUGCAGUGGGUACGGGCAGACUAGAGUGCGGUAGGGGAGACUGGAAUUCCUGGUGUAGCGGUGAAAUGCGCAGAUAUCAGGAGGAACACCGGUGGCGAAGGCGGGUCUCUGGGCCGUAACUGACGCUGGAGGAGCGAAAGCAUGGGGAGCGAACAGG